rnacentral:lncRNA from 1 species
AAAAAGGUGGUCAGAUGGAAACAGGAAGCCAAGUCGAAUGGAUCUGAGACCGUCCCCCUGAGAAACAGCGGGGCUCAGAGAGGGUCUCUGAGGUUUUAUCUGGCCCUUUUGGGCUGGGAGGCUGCCUGGGAAGCCACCGACUCCGUGGGAAGGGAGACCCGUGAACGCUGUGCGGGUAGCGGGAACAUGUGGGUCUGUCACACUGGCCCGAGGCUGCAGCGGUGGUGGCUUGGCUGUGUUUGGGGAGGGUGGGGGACACAUGGCAGCAAUGUUGGAGCUGUGGACAGCUUCCUGUGAUCAAAAUAUGAUUCCUGAAGGUCAAGGU